AUACAUAAGCGGAAGGAAAAGAAACUAACAAGGAUUCCCUAGUAACUGCGAGUGAAGCGGGAAAAGCUCAAAUUUAAAAUCUGGCAGUCUUUUGGCUGUCCGAGUUGUAGUCUGGAGAAGUGCUUUCCGCGCUGGACCGUGUAUAAGUCUCUUGGAACAGAGCGUCAUAGAGGGUGAGAAUCCCGUCUUUGACACGGACUACCAGUGCUUUGUGAUGCGCUCUCAAAGAGUCGAGUUGUUUGGGAAUGCAGCUCAAAAUGGGUGGUGAAUUCCAUCUAAAGCUAAAUAUUGGCGAGAGACCGAUAGCGAACAAGUACCGUGAGGGAAAGAUGAAAAGCACUUUGGAAAGAGAGUUAAACAGUACGUGAAAUUGCUGAAAGGGAAACGCUUGAAGUCAGUCGCGUCGUCCGGAACUCAGCCUUGCUUUUGCUUGGUGCACUUUCCGGUUGACGGGUCAGCAUCGAUUUUGACCGUCGGAAAAGGGCUGGAGUAAUGUGGCACCCUCGGGUGUGUUAUAGACUCUGGUCGCAUACGGCGGUUGGGAUCGAGGAACGCAGCGCGCCGUAAGGCAGGGGUUCGCCCACUUUCGCGCUUAGGAUGCUGGCAUAAUGGCUUUAAACGACCCGUCUUGAAACACGGACCAAGGAGUCUAACAUACCUGCGAGUGUUUGGGUGGAAAACCCGAGCGCGUAAUGAAAGUGAAAGUUGAGACCCCUGUCGUGGGGGGCAUCGACGCCCGGACCUGACGUUCUCUGAAGGAUCCGCGGUAGAGCAUGUAUGUUGGGACCCGAAAGAUGGUGAACUAUGCCUGAAUAGGGUGAAGCCAGAGGAAACUCUGGUGGAGGCUCGUAGCGAUUCUGACGUGCAAAUCGAUCGUCAAAUUUGGGUAUAGGGGCGAAAGACUAAUCGAACCCAUCUCAGGGCAC
rnacentral:rRNA from 1 species